rnacentral:rRNA from 1 species
AUUUACGGCGGACGGGUGAGUAAUGCCUAGGAAUCUGCCUGGUAGUGGGGGAUAACGUUCCGAAAGGAACGCUAAUACCGCAUACGUCCUACGGGAGAAAGCAGGGGACCUUCGGGCCUUGCGCUAUCAGAUGAGCCUAGGUCGGAUUAGCUAGUUGGUGAGGUAAUGGCUCACCAAGGCGACGAUCCGUAACUGGUCUGAGAGGAUGAUCAGUCACACUGGAACUGAGACACGGUCCAGACUCCUACGGGAGGCAGCAGUGGGGAAUAUUGGACAAUGGGCGAAAGCCUGAUCCAGCCAUGCCGCGUGUGUGAAGAAGGUCUUCGGAUUGUAAAGCACUUUAAGUUGGGAGGAAGGGCAUUAACCUAAUACGUUAGUGUUUUGACGUUACCAACAGAAUAAGCACCGGCUAACUUCGUGCCAGCAGCCGCGGUAAUACGAAGGGUGCAAGCGUUAAUCGGAAUUACUGGGCGUAAAGCGCGCGUAGGUGGUUCGUUAAGUUGGAUGUGAAAUCCCCGGGCUCAACCUGGGAACUGCAUCCAAAACUGGC